rnacentral:lncRNA from 1 species
GCGGCGGGAGCCGUUCCCCGACGGCAGCCGGGCGCUCGGCCGCCGUGUCUGGGCUGAGCGCCGCGACGCCGCGCCGGAAACCCUCCUGGGUCUUGAGGCGUAUGGAACCUCAAGGUCUUUAUGACAAUGGAAACAAAAAAAUUGAUUGGCAAACCGCUUCAACCAGCAAGACCUGUUCGUCAUCUCUCUUCUCCUCCAGGACCAGUGUUCCCUUUCAACUUUCAGAAUGAAUAUCCAUGCAGCACUCAAUGCUUACAAAGUGGAGUGGGCAGAUGUAAGACGAAUGGAAUGCAAGCCUUUUCUCAAGGUCUCAAUGAGCAACAGCAACACCAGUCUCCAGUUAAAAAAGGAAAACAACCAAAGUUUUAAGUAGCAUUUUAAGAACAGAUGAAUUUGAAGAUAAAGAAUUAUUCAUUUUAUAUUUUGGACACCUGCAAAUGAAGUGGACCUAGUACAAUAACUAAUGGACUGUGACGAUUCAAUUUAUUUUUACUUUUGAUGGUUGGCUAUUUGGCUUCUCAUAAAAGGAGAAAGAGAUAUUUUAAAGUAUAAAGAAUUUUUCUAAUCAGUUUCAGCUUUGCAGGCAGUUCCUGCAAAAAUUGGGAAAUAACACUCGAAAGUGGGGAUGUUGUUGGUGAAGUGGGAAGACUGUAUUAUAAUUUGCAUGCUACUUGCAAUUCUUGUUUCUCACCACUUGUAAUAAUGGAAUGGAAAUGUAAGCUGUAAAGAUUCUCAAAUAUAAAGUAUUUGCUAUGAUGUA